rnacentral:rRNA from 1 species
CAGUAGCCGCGGGAAAACGUAGGGCGCGAGCGUUGUCCGGAAUUAUUGGGCGUAAAGGGCUCGCAGGCGGUUUCUUAAGUCUGAUGUGAAAGCCCCCGGCUCAACCGGGGAGGGUCAUUGGAAACUGGGAAACUUGAGUGCAGAAGAGGAGAGUGGAAUUCCACGUGUAGCGGUGAAAUGCGUAGAGAUGUGGAGGAACACCAGUGGCGAAGGCGACUCUCUGGUCUGUAACUGACGCUGAGGAGCGAAAGCGUGGGGAGCGAACAGGAUUAGAUACCCGGGUAGUCCCUGUCUCUUAUAC